rnacentral:rRNA from 1 species
AGAGUUUGAUCCUGGCUCAGGAUGAACGCUGGCGGCGUGCUUAACACAUGCAAGUCGAACGAUCCUUCGGGAUAGUGGCGGACGGGUGAGUAACGCGUGGGAAUCUGCCCUCAGGAGGGGGAUAACGGCUGGAAACGGCCGCUAAUACCCCAUAUGCCGAGAGGUGAAAUGAAUUUCGCCUGAGGAUGAGCCCGCGUCUGAUUAGCUAGUUGGUGGGGUAAAGGCCUACCAAGGCAACGAUCAGUAGCUGGUCUGAGAGGAUGAUCAGCCACACUGGGACUGAGACACGGCCCAGACUCCUACGGGAGGCAGCAGUGGGGAAUUUUCCGCAAUGGGCGAAAGCCUGACGGAGCAACGCCGCGUGAGGGAUGAAGGCCUCUGGGCUGUAAACCUCUUUUCUCAAGGAAGAAGACCUGACGGUACUUGAGGAAUAAGCCACGGCUAAUUCCGUGCCAGCAGCCGCGGUAAUACGGGAGUGGCAAGCGUUAUCCGGAAUUAUUGGGCGUAAAGCGUCCGCAGGCGGCCUUGUAAGUCUGUUGUUAAAGCGUGGAGCUCAACUCCAUUUAAGCAAUGGAAACUACAAGGCUGGAGUGUGGUAGGGGCAGAGGGAAUUCCCGGUGUAGCGGUGAAAUGCGUAGAUAUCGGGAAGAACACCAGUGGCGAAGGCGCUCUGCUGGGCCAUAACUGACGCUCAUGGACGAAAGCCAGGGGAGCGAAAGGGAUUAGAUACCCCUGUAGUCCUGGCCGUAAACGAUGAACACUAGGUGUCGGGGGAAUCGACCCCCUCGGUGUCGUAGCCAACGCGUUAAGUGUUCCGCCUGGGGAGUACGCACGCAAGUGUGAAACUCAAAGGAAUUGACGGGGGCCCGCACAAGCGGUGGAGUAUGUGGUUUAAUUCGAUGCAACGCGAAGAACCUUACCAGGGUUUGACAUCCUGCGAACCCCUGAGAAAUCGGGGGGUGCCUUCGGGAGCGCAGAGACAGGUGGUGCAUGGCUGUCGUCAGCUCGUGUCGUGAGAUGUUGGGUUAAGUCCCGCAACGAGCGCAACCCACGUCUUUAGUUGCCAGCAUUCAGUUGGGCACUCUAGAGAGACCGCCGGUGAUAAACCGGAGGAAGGUGUGGAUGACGUCAAGUCAUCAUGCCCCUUACAUCCUGGGCUACACACGUACUACAAUGCUACGGACAAAGGGCAGCAAGCUCGCGAGAGUUAGCAAAUCCCAUAAACCGUGGCUCAGUUCAGAUCGUAGGCUGCAACUCGCCUACGUGAAGGAGGAAUCGCUAGUAAUCGCAGGUCAGCAUACUGCGGUGAAUACGUUCCCGGGCCUUGUACACCGCCCGUCACACCAUGGAAGUUGGCCAUGCCCGAAGUCGUUACUCCAACCCUUGUGGAGGAGGACGCCGAAGGUGGGGCUGAUGACUGGGGUGAAGUCGGAACAAGGUA